UGAACGCUGGCGGCAGGCCUAACACAUGCAAGUCGCGCGGUAGAGAGAAGCUUGCUUCUCUUGAGAGCGGCGGACGGGUGAGUAAUGCCUAGGAAUCUGCCUGGUAGUGGGGGAUAACGUUCGGAAACGGACGCUAAUACCGCAUACGUCCUACGGGAGAAAGGGGGCUCCGGCUCCCGCUAUGGGAUGAGCCUAUGUCGGAUUAGCUAGUUGGUGAGGUAAUGGCUCACCAAGGCGACGAUCCGUAACUGGUCUGAGAGGAUGAUCAGUCACACUGGAACUGAGACACGGUCCAGACUCCUACGGGAGGCAGCAGUGGGGAAUAUUGGACAAUGGGCGAAAGCCUGAUCCAGCCAUGCCGCGUGUGUGAAGAAGGUCUUCGGAUUGUAAAGCACUUUAAGUUGGGAGGAAGGGCAGUUACCUAAUACGUGAUUGUUUUGACGUUACCGACAGAAUAAGCACCGGCUAACUCU
rnacentral:rRNA from 1 species